rnacentral:rRNA from 1 species
AGUGAACGCUGGCGGUAGGCCUAACACAUGCCAGUCGAACGGCAGCACAGUAAGAGCUUGCUCUUACGGGUGGCGAGUGGCGGACGGGUGAGGAAUACAUCGGAAUCUACUUUUUCGUGGGGGAUAACGUAGGGAAACUUACGCUAAUACCGCUUACGACCUACGGGUGAAAGCAGGGGAUCUUCGGACCUUGCGCGAUUGAAUGAGCCGAUGUCGGAUUAGCUAGUUGGCGGGGUAAAGGCCCACCAAGGCGACGAUCCGUAGCUGGUCUGAGAGGAUGAUCAGCCACACUGGAACUGAGACACGGUCCAGACUCCUACGGGAGGCAGCAGUGGGGAAUAUUGGACAAUGGGCGCAAGCCUGAUCCAGCCAUACCGCGUGGGUGAAGAAGGCCUUCGGGUUGUAAAGCCCUUUUGUUGGGAAAGAAAAGCAGCAGGUUAAUACCCCGCUGUUCUGACGGUACCCAAAGAAUAAGCACCGGCUAACUUCGUG